UACCAAUGUGAGAUUUCUAAAAAUAGCUACAGUACUCAACCCAGGGUUUAAGAAUCUGAAGUGCUGUCCAAAAUCUGAGAGGGACGAGGUAUGGAGCAUGCUUUCAGAAGUCUUAAAAGACAACAUGGAGAUGUGGAAACUGCAGAACCUGAACCACCAAAAAAGAAAAUCAACUUUCUGCUGGUGGCAUCUGACUCAGAUGAUGUAAAUGAACAUGCUGAUGAUCCUUUGGGAAUUCUGCACCAAAAAAAUAAAAAUUCUAUUCACAAUAUUUUGAAAUUCUGCAAAUUUUAUUUGUCAAUAAAUAAAUGUGGAGGCUCCAGCAUGGCAGUGGGGGAACGCAGGCCACUGGCUGCAUGGAGAUGGAAGAUGACCUUGUAGUGCUCUCUUCCUCUUCCCCGGACACGGACUCAGUGGUGAGGCUGCGCCCACCUGCCCCAGAAACAUGUCGGGGGCCCUUCCCUUCUGUGCCUGGCGCAGCAGGUGUGGACAGGCAGGCUCAGCCCAGCAGGAUCCAAGUACAGUAACUCCUCACUUAACAGCGUCCCGCUUAAAAUUGUUUCGUCGUUACGUUACUGAUCAAUUAGAGAACAUGCUUGUUUAAAGUUGCGCAGUGCUCCCUUAUAAUGUCGUUUGGCAGCCGCCUACUUUGUCCACUGCUUGCAGAAAGAGCAGCCCUUUGGAGCUAGCCGGUGGGGGCUUGGAACCAGGGGUGGACCGGCAGCCCCCUGUCAGCUCCCCUAAGUUCCCUGUGCAGCAGCCUACCCGCCAGGCUAUAAAUUUCUGGGCAGUUCAGCUGUCCCUCCCCCCAUUGCUGUGUGCUGCUCCUGCCCUCUGCCUUGGAGCUGCUCCUGGGAGCCUCCUGCUUGCUGUGUGGGGGGCGGGGACGAGAGGAGUGCUAAUGUCGGGGUGUUCCCCGCUGCUGUACCUCAUCUCCACAGAGCAGAGGCAGGACACGACAGGGCUGAGGACGGAGUUUACUGGCAGCAGCUGCUGUCUCAACUUGCUGAUGUACUUAAAAAGGCAAUGUACUUAGAGUGGGGUAAGCGUACUUAAAAGGGGAAUGUGUGUCUCACACACACACACUCUCAUGCUGUGUCUCCUCCCUCCGUUCCUGCUGCCUUAUAGAGUGUGGGGCUACAUUAACAACGUGUUAGCCCUUGAGGGUUCAGCAGAGUGCUAGUUCAUCAUUUAACAGUCAGGCAUUCCCUGGGAAAUAUCCCACUCUCUAACUCCACAAUCUCAACCAAGCUUCACAAUCAUCAUUAUUGUGUACAGUAUUAAAUUGUUUGUUUAAAACUUGUAGUGUGUGUGUGUGUGUGUGUGUGUGUAUCAGAGGUGCAAGUAAGCCAGUACGGUCCGGUACGGCAAGAGCCGGUACAUCGUGCCGGACCGGACCAGACCAGCUUCCCCAGGCUGGCGAUUUAAAGGGCCCGGGGCUCCCUGCAGUGGCCGAAGCCCCGGGCCCUUUAAAGCACUGCCAGAGCCCCGGGGUAGCGGUGGCAGGGCUCUGGCGGUGAUUUAAAGGGUCCGGGACUCCCAGCCGUGGAGCCCCAGGGCCUUUAAUUCCCCGGGCUCUUUAAAUCAUGAUUUAAAGGCCUCGCUUCUUCUGGUUGAGGCCAUACCCCCUGCUCAGACCAUUAAGUCCUUUAAAGUUACUUUCACCACCGGUUUGUGUGUGUGUGUGUGUAUAUGUGUGUGUAUAUAUAUAUAUAUAAAAAAAUUCCCUGGAACCUAAACAACCCCCCCACACACACACACGCAUUAAUUCUUAUGGAGAAAUUGGAUUCGCGUAACAUGGUUUUGUUUAAAGUAGUAUUUUUCAGGAACAUAACUACAGUGUUAAGUGAGGAGUUACUGUAUGGAGGGUCUUGGUGUGGGGGGAUCCAUGUGCGGCAAUCUGGGUGCAGGUGGCCCAGUAGAGGGUUCAGGUGCGAGAGGGAUCUGGAUGCACAGGGGCUCAUUGGGGGGAGAUCCAGGUGCAGGGGCAAUGGGAUUCUGCAGGGGGGUCCAGGUGAAGGUAGUUGGGGCUCAGCGAGGUGUGGGGGUGUUCAGGUGCUGGAGAGAGUGGGGCUCGGUGCGGUGGGGGUCCAGCUGUGGGGGGCUCAUCAGGGUGGUCAAGGUGCAUACAGAUUGGGGCUCGGUGAGGUGUGGUUUGAGUGCAGGAGGCUCAGUGGGGGGUGGUCUGAGUGCAGGGGGAGAUCUGGAUGGGGGGGCGCUCAGGUGGUUCUGGGUGCAGGGGUUGAAGCUCAGCAGGGUCGAAUACACAGGGGUUGGGUGGACGGGGGUGAUCUCUCCUCCCGCAGCUGAGGAGUGACGGGGGCAGGAAGCGGGGAUGGGGUGCAGAGCCAGGGGAGGUUUCUGGAGGUGGAUCUGCCCCAGCUGCUGCAGGGGAAAUGCGCUCCCCCCACAGCCCAGCUGGGACUAGUACCUGAGCCCAGUGCAGGGUAGGAGCCACUGGGUGGGGCUGGGGAGAGCUGGAUGCAGGGGAUAAGGCUUGGCAGGGUGGGGGUUCUGCAUUGCCCGAAAUGACAUGCCUGCACUGUUGGGGAGGGGUAUGUGAUUGCUCUUGCAGCUUCCCUUUGCUUCACUGUCAGUCAUUUUUCUGCAAGGAAGCAAAGAAAUCUGCGAGGGACAUGAAUUCUGCAGAAUUCCCCCAGGAGUAAAUAGGACAAGAAGUCAGUGAAUUGUGUUUUGUUGGUUUUUGGGCAGCUCUGUUAUAACUUUACUGGAUUUUCAAUGUCUUAGGGUCCUAUGUGGAGCCGCAAAAUAAAGCUAGACAACACUCUUAAGGUGGUUAUUUAUAACAAGUAACUAUCAAACCCAAAACAGUAUUCUGUCCCUUUUAAGGACUAAGGCAAACAAGCCAAGCCCUCUAACAGGAUUACACAAAUGAGGGGAAAAGAAGCUAUGCUUAGCUCACCUGCCUGAUAGCACUAGAGCUCCCAGCCCAGAAGCAUCUUUUUAUUUCUUUCCCCUCCCCUGUGGAAUGUCUUCUGCUCCCUUUUUGGAGGAGACUGGAGGCCACUGAUUCUCUUUGUGCUGCUAACCCUACAUUAUUCCCUUGUAGUUCCCUGCAGUAAAGCAUGCAGCUGUGGUCCUUUUCUUCAGAAACCAGACUAACCCUCUCCUGACUUCCUAAGGGAUGAUAGACCCCUUGUACUAAAGAAGUAUCAACUUUGGCAUGCUUCUUUGUAGAAGAUGACAGUGCUGCUAGCUGUAGUUCAGUCACACUUAACAAAGCAUUGUAUCAACUCUGAAUCCAGAUUGGAUCCUCAGUUUGGGAAAGUGCUCCAGUUCUUCUUAAUUAGCACUCAGCUUUUCUGCUGAGGAUUGUCGCUGCUUCUGCAGAGCUUCAUUGGGAUCCGUUAAGAGUAGUAAGUAUUGUCAUGAAGGAGAAAAGUUAUUUGCCAGUAACUUGUUCUCCAAAUGUAUUGCUCUGCAGAUCAACAGGCUUUCCUCCUCCCCUGUCUUUAGGAGUUAAUGAAUUUCCUGAAUAAAGAGAAACCAAAGGAUUUUAGGAGUCAGCACUACCCUACACAGUUUUGUCAACAAAAGUCAGCUCCUGUCAAUAAAAGAGUGGAGGUAUACAUGCUGAAACACUCCUCCUCCCGAUAUAACUCCCCUGCUAUGCCGACAUAAUAAAACCACCUCAAUGAGGGGUGUUGGGCUUACAUCAGUAUUGAUAGGGUGGCGCAGUGUCUGCGUAGAUGCUGGGAGCCGGGGCAAGAAUGGACCCCGUACUCAGCUGGGAGCCCCGGGCAGCUUCCUCCCCUCCCAGCAGGGCAGCCAGGCUCCCGGCAGGGAGCUGUCAGCAGAACCGAGAGACCAGGCUCUCCAUUCCCCCUCUUAGGUCGGUGUAAACACUCCUGGUGAGGACACACACAACUGACCCAAGGAGGGUAGUGUGAACAUCAGUCACCACAGUAAUUAAUGCAGUGGCUCUAAGUCAACCUAAUAUAGGUCGACUGUAUGCUGGACUGUAUGUUGGAAAUCAGAUGUACAUAUUGUAAUGCUAUUGACGGUUUUAGCCUUCACUAGAAACAAAACGUUACCUGUGUGCCUAACUUCUAAAACUCGGAGAGGGGAAACUGAAUCAUGGUUCUUCUACAUUGAUGGCUUGCAUGCUACACCAAUAAGACAGCUUAAUUUGUUUCUUGUGUAAAAUAAUAUAGUAUAUUCAGCUGGGAAUUUGAGAAGUUUAAAAAAUAAAUCACUCUGAAAUAACUUAACUUAGAUUCUUCAGAAUCCAAGAGAAAAUACUGAUUACCAAAAAAAAAAAAGAGAGAGAGAGAGAGAGAGAGAGAGACAAGAAUUCCUAUCAGCUAUAGAUAAAAAUCAGUU